UGCAUUGUCAGUAUGAUUACCCAACAUGACCCCAGAGUUUGAACCACAUGAACAGUGAAGGAAUAAGGUGGCUAUCUGGAUGUGGGUGACCACCUACAGUGAAAACCAGGCCUCAGAACUAACAUUCCUGGUUGCCAGAAUCUACCAGCCAAUCAGAAACUUGCAGUUUCUGAAUCCUAAGGAUUGCCAAGUUACAUCUGCACCUUGGGGGAUCUAGCACUGAGGUGGUGAAAGAUAAUUCAUGGAUGCAAGAUUAAAUUGUUUCAGAAUGCCCAGAGAUCCAGGGAAAAGGAAGAAUCAGUCCCCAUCAAAAUUAAUUUUUGCAAGUGAUUACCUCUUAUAAUUACAUUUUCGUCCAGUUGCUUUUAAAAAUGAAGAUUGUGAAUGUGAAAAAAAAUCACUAGAUUAAAGAUGAUCAAACAUGG